CAAAACCUCCAUUUUGAAGGGAGUUAUGCGCCUUCAAAGUUAGAGGUGAGAGAGCGAAAGACGGCAGAGAAAGAGACAGUCGUUUUCUCUGCCGUCUCUCACUCUCCAACCUCCAACUUCGAAAGCGCAUAACUCGCUUCAAAAUUGAGCAAUUG
rnacentral:sRNA from 13 species